rnacentral:tRNA from 1 species
GGGGAGUAGCUCAGUUGGUUAGAGCGUCGGCCUGUCACGUCGAAGGUCGCGAGUUCAAGUCUCGUCUCUCC